rnacentral:rRNA from 1 species
AGUGAACGCUGGCGGUAGGCCUAACACAUGCAAGUCGAACGGCAGCACAGUAAGAGCUUGCUCUUACGGGUGGCGAGUGGCGGACGGGUGAGGAAUACAUCGGAAUCUACUUUUUCGUGGGGGAUAACGUAGGGAAACUUACGCUAAUACCGCAUACGACCUACGGGUGAAAGCAGGGGAUCUUUGGACCUUGCGCGAUUGAAUGAGCCGAUGUCGGAUUAGCUAGUUGGCGGGGUAAAGGCCCACCCAGGCGGCGAUCCGUAGCUGGUCUGAGAGACUGAUCGGCCACACUGGAACUGAGACAGGGUCCAGGCGCCUACGGGAGGCAGCAGUGGGGAAUAUUGGACAAUGGGCGCAAGCCUGAUCCAGCCAUACCGCGUGGGUGGAGAAGGCCUUCGGGUUGUAAAGCCCUUUUGUUGGGAAAGAAAAGCAGCAGGUUAAUACCCCGCUGUUCUGACGGUACCCAAAGAAUAAGCACCGGCUAACUUCGUG